GACGAACGCUGGCGGCGUGCUUAACACAUGCAAGUCGAGCGGUAAGGCCCUUUCGGGGGUACACGAGCGGCGAACGGGUGAGUAACACGUGGGUGACCUGCCCUCAGCUCUGGGAUAAGCCUGGGAAACCGGGUCUAAUACCGGAUAUGACUCCAUGACGCAUGUUGUGGGGUGAAAGCCUUGUGCGGCUGAGGAUGGGCCCGCGGCCUAUCAGCUUGUUGGUGGGGUGAUGGCCUACCAAGGCGACGACGGGUAGCCGGCCUGAGAGGGCGACCGGCCACACUGGGACUGAGACACGGCCCAGACUCCUACGGGAGGCAGCAGUGGGGAAUCUUGCGCAAUGGGCGAAAGCCUGACGCAGCGACGCCGCGUGGGGAUGACGGCCU
rnacentral:rRNA from 1 species